CCGCACAAGCGGUGAGCAUGUGGUUUAAUUCGAAGCAACGCGAAGAACCUUUACCAGGUCUUGACAUCCCGAUGCUAUUUCUAGAGAUAGAAAGUUACUUCGGUACAUCGGUGACAGGUGGUGCAUGGUUGUCGUCAGCUCGUGUCGUGAGAUGUUGGGUUAAGUCCCGCAACGAGCGCAACCCCUAUUGUUAGUUGCCAUCAUUCAGUUGGGCACUCUAGCGAGACUGCCGGUAAUAAACCGGAGGAAGGUGGGGAUGACGUCAAAUCAUCAUGCCCCUUAUGACCUGGGCUACACACGUGCUACAAUGGUUGGUACAACGAGUUGCGAGUCGGUGACGGCGAGCUAAUCUCUUAAAGCCAAUCUCAGUUCGGAUUGUAGGCUGCAACUCGCCUACAUGAAGUCGGAAUCGCUAGUAAUCGCGGAUCAGCACGCCGCGGUGAAUACGUUCCCGGGCCUU
rnacentral:rRNA from 1 species